UACGUAGGGUGCGAGCGUUGUCCGGAAUUACUGGGCGUAAAGCGCGUGUAGGUGGUUGUCCAAGUUGGAUGUGAAAGCCUUGAGCUCAACUCAAGAAAUGCAUUCAGGACUGGGCGGCUAGAGGACCGGAGAGGAUAGUGGAAUUCCCAGUGUAGUGGUGAAAUACGUAGAGAUUGGGAAGAACACCAGUGGCGAAGGCGGCUAUCUGGACGGUUUCUGACACUAAGACUCGAAAGCGUGGGGAGCAAACAGG
rnacentral:rRNA from 1 species